CUCCACAGCUGGGUCCUGCUCCUCAGACAAGAUGGGGCCAGAGGCGGCCCCAGCAGCCACGCAUGCUGCCCCACAGGCCACAAGAGAGAAGAUCCGGUCCAGGUUCCACGGCAGCCACGACCUCAUCCACCGCCUGUUCGUCUGCAUUUCAGGUGUGGCUGACCAGCUGCAGACGAACUAUGCCAGUGACCUGAGAAGUAUUCUUAAAACACUGUUUGAGGUCAUGGCCACCAAGCCUGAAACAGACGACAAGGAAAAGUUAAGGAAGGUCACCCAGACUCUGCGGAGUGCGGCCUUGGAGGACUGUGCACUGUGCCAGGAGACCCUGUCAUCCUCUGAACUGGCAGCCAAGACCCGCGAUGGGGACUUUGAAGACCCCCCGGAGUGGGUGCCAGACGAGGCCUGUGGCUUCUGCACGGCGUGCAAAGCACCCUUCACCGUCAUCCGCCGGAAGCACCACUGCCGCAGCUGUGGGAAGGUGGGUGAGACCCCUUGCACGGAGGGUCCCUCAGCAUCCAAGGGCGUCCACGGACAGAGCCUGAGGUCUGGAAGUCAGAACCGAUGCCCAGGGAGGCCAGCGAGGCCUGUGGGGUCUUGUGCAGAGGCCCCUGGAGGUCCCGGGCCCUGUUCUGACUCCAGGCAUUUGACCACGGGAACCUGGAUGGUGCCCAUGUCCAGUCCCGGCUGCUGCAGAGCCAGCCACAGAGAGGGGACAGCGAGUGUGAACAGGAGCCUGCAGCAGCCUUGGUGCAGGACGUGGACCCCUCAUAGAGUCCAGCCUCCUGAAGGUCACAACCCCUGGCAGCUGGGGCUGGGCAGUCCCCACCCACCAAUGCGGCCUGAGCUGGGUGGGUAGGUGUGUGGGAGGGCGAGGAGCCAGGGUGGGUGGGGCUGGUCUGCCGCAGACCCUCACUGCCCCAACCCCAUUCCAGAUCUUCUGCUCGCGCUGCUCCUCGCACUCAGCACCGCUGCCCCGCUACGGGCAGGUGAAGCCGGUCCGAGUGUGCACCCACUGCUACAUGUUCCAUGUCACGCCCUUCUACAGCGACAAGGCCGGCCUGUGACGUGGUGCCAGGGGCAGCCCCAACCCACCCGGGCCAGGAACCCCCAGGAAGGUGGGGCCACGCUGCAGGCAGGUCUCACUGCGUCUCAUGAGGCCGCUGCCGCUGCUGCAGGGGCACCCAGACCUCCAGAGCAUCCAGAGCCUCUGUCCUGCCCACGCUAGCCUCCCUGCAGGGACCCCGGGCCGGCUGCAGGGGCCAACAAGAGGUCAGCUUUGCCCAGCAGGGGACCCGGAGGAGCCUGGUGGCUGCCUCAGGGCAGGGUGCCUGGCGGAGAAGGCCUGGGCCCUCCCACUGGUCCCUCGGAGAUCUGCUGGGGCUAUGGGAAUCGGGGCGGGUGAUGGAGGUGGACAAGAGUGGGGCCACUCUGCGCCUCUGCUGUUGCGGUGAAUCUGGAAGCCGGAGCAAGGGCCACUCCACAGGCUCUUUGGCACAGCAGGGCUCCCUAUGUGCCUCCCAAACGUCAAAUGCAGGCUACCCAUUCUCCCCAUCAGCUGCCCACCUCGUUCCCCAGCCCUCACCCCUCACCCCUCACCAUCCUUCCUCAGGACUUGGCUAAACAACAUGCAUCUCAUUUCUUCUUGGAGUGGGGAGAUGCGGGAAGCUGACCCAGUGGUCCUCUAGGCAGGCAGGGUGCUCCUGGUGUCUGCCCACCACUGUCCCCUUGCUGAUGGCAUGGGGGUCCGACCAGGCACUGACACCGCAGGCAGAGGUUGCUCGGGGCCUUGGGUCGGGUUUACCAAUCAGCCAGGACGCCCGGGGCCACCAGCUCAGCUACCACUUCCCCUUCCCUCUGCACCCUCUGGAACCCUGGCCCAAUUCCUCAGACCCCAGAGUGGCCUGGGACCCAAGCUGCCGCAGCUGAGUGGCCCCAGCGGACACCUCCUCAGGCUUAAAUCUCAGGCUUCACAUUGCAAUGACGAUUGCAGUUUUAUUUUUGGAGAUGACACACCUACUGCUUCUUUUCUAGGAUAAAUCUAAUUACUGUUUACUGGUGGAGUACAUAUGCAUAGAAACGGCUUCUGUCGGGGGGAGAGUAUAUAAUGGAGGAAAUAUUAUGUAUUGAGAUUAUAUUUAUUUUCUAAAUGCUGUAAUUUGAAGCCAUUUCCAUAAAUCUAUUUAAG
rnacentral:lncRNA from 1 species